rnacentral:rRNA from 1 species
AACGAACGCUGGCGGCAUGCCCAACACAUGCAAGUCGAACGAAGCCUUCGGGCUUAGUGGCGCACGGGUGCGUAACGCGUGGGAAUCUGCCCUUGGGUUCGGAAUAACAGUUAGAAAUGACUGCUAAUACCGAAUGAUGUCUUCGGACCAAAGAUUUAUCGCCCAAGGAUGAGCCCGCGUCGGAUUAGCUAGUUGGUGAGGUAAAGGCUCACCAAGGCGACGAUCCGUAGCUGGUCUGAGAGGAUGAUCAGCCACACUGGGACUGAGACACGGCCCAGACUCCUACGGGAGGCAGCAGUGGGGAAUAUUGGACAAUGGGCGAAAGCCUGAUCCAGCAAUGCCGCGUGAGUGAUGAAGGCCUUAGGGGUUGUAAAGCUCUUUUACCCGGGAUGAUAAUGACAGUACCGGGAGAAUAAGCCCCGGCUAACUCCGUGCCAGCAGCCGCGGUAAU